rnacentral:rRNA from 1 species
AGCGAACGCUGGCGGCAGGCCUAACACAUGCAAGUCGAACGAACCUUUCGGGGUUAGUGGCGGACGGGUGAGUAACACGUGGGAACGUGCCUCUAGGUUCGGAAUAACUCAGGGAAACUUGUGCUAAUACCGAAUGUGCCCUUCGGGGGUAAGCUCCAUCGCCUUUAGAGCGGCCCGCGUCUGCUUAGCUAGUUGGUUGAGGUAAUGGCUCACCACGGCGACGAUCAGUAGCUCGUCUGAGAGGAUGCUCAGCCACAUUGGGACUGAGACACGGCCCCAACUCCUACGGGAGGCAGCAGUGGGGACUCUUGCGCACUGGGCGAAAGCCUGACGCAGCCAUGCCGCGUGAAUGAUGAAGGUCUUAGGAUUGUAAAAUUCUUUCACAGGAGACGAUAAUGACGGUACCCGGAGAAGAAGCCCCGGCUAACUUCGUG